rnacentral:guide_RNA from 1 species
AAACAAAAUCGUUGAGGAUAUCUAAUAGGUUUGUGGU